rfam:Arabis alpina cultivar Pajares chromosome 7, whole genome shotgun sequence.
AUCCCACGGUGCGGACAAGCUCUUGUAUACCCUUUCAUACGCUCUCAUGCAUCAUACAAACUCUCCUCUUCGCCUUGCUCAAAUCUAGCUAUAUCAUUCCUUAUCUU